rnacentral:lncRNA from 1 species
GUGCCGUUGUCAGGUUUCCAUUAAAUUGUGAGAGCUUUAAGCUUCAAAUUGCCGUGCCGCCAUUUUGGUGCGUGCGUGUGACAUCACUGGUUCUUUGCUCUUUUUUGUUUUCGAGCUCCACCACCCUCAUGCUGCCGCAGCGAACUUCUUCGGCAUUUCAUUUAAAACUACGGUAGAAUUGUUACUGCUAUCACUGAAACUCUGAAGCUCAGGAAGCAUUCGAUAAACUGAAGCAACUGUUUGCCUCUCAUUUGAAUUUAUUGUUGAGAUUGACACUUUCAAAACUUGGUUUAAAUCAUUUAAAUCAUUUGUCAAUGAAUUCAUUUAAUGAAUUAACUGUUCAAAUGAAGUAAUAAUCAACAUUACUAAUAAAUUGUGUUUAUUUAAGAAAAAUAUUAGGCCUUUUUGAGUUUGAUGGUAGAUCCACAUUUCGAAAAAGCUGGGAAAGGACCAAACUGGAUGUAGGAUGUAGAGUGGAACAAAUUUCCUCCCAACUAUUUGCCUGUUCUCGCAAAUGCUUGAUUGCGGUUCUUGUUGCCAACUGUGCACAACCAUCAGCCUUAUUGGGCAAUUACUUUUUCACAUAGUGCCACGUAGGUUUGGAUAACCCUUUUCCCCUAUAAUAAAUUAAAUUAUUAUUUUAAAAAAAAAUGCACUUUUUACUUGGGUUUUCUUUUUUUACAUAUUAGAACGUAUUUAAUGAGCUAAACAUGUAUGUGAAAAAAAAUGUGCAAAAAACUAAGAAAUAAGGAUGGGGCAAAUUAAUUUUGAAAAAGAUUUUAACAGCAGUUUUUUUUUUAGAUGUGCUGCUUCAAAAGGACGGACAUUUUGUCACGAUGGAACAGGGAGGACUCAGGCGCAGACUGAAAUCACAGAAAACUGAAUUUUAUUUACACCCUUCCGGUGCACUAUAUACAGCUACCACAGGUCGAGAGGCAAGGUACAUGCUGGACAGGCUGCAGGGCUAACACAGAGACAGAUAGACAGAGCGAGGGAUUCACACUCACAUUCAUACCACCACGCAUGGGCAAUUUACAAUCAUGUAUUUGGGAGGACAUGAGAAAAAGAACGACAUUUACACCAGGCCUGGUGGGAUGGAAUUCACGACCUUCUUGCUGUGAGGCAACAGUGCUUAGACACUAUGCUGCAUGCUACCUGAAUAUACAGCUAACAAAAUAAAUGACGAAAUUGAGUGAAAUUUUGUAGGCAACAUUUCCUCAUCAUUUAUCAGUAAAUUGGAAAUUCGGUUUGGUUAACUUGCCACUUGCAGUUUUCUUUAUCAGACUUAUGAUGUAAAUGCAUUUAAUUUAUGUUUUCCAUCACGAAAAUAAAGUGUUUU